GCCAAACCGCUCGGUCGUCUCCCUCAUCAGUUUGAAGAUGGAGGAAUACUUGCAGUACAGGAAGGCUCUGUGAUAUCGAAUGAACGGUACUUCUAUACCUGUCGUUCUCUGAAAGAAAAACAUGUACACCUUCUGUAAAUAAAUGUUGCUGAGUUGCAAUUGUGAAUUGAGAGAUGUGGAGGAUCAGGCGGCCAAGAUCUCAGUCGAAGAGCAGAUGCAGAUUACUACCAUUCAAUCUCUGGAAAGCGACCUCACUUCUGAGAGCAUCUUUCCAACGCUGAGCUGGUGUUUGUUCUCCUAGUCCCUAUCAGUUGAUGGGUUAUGGACCUUGUUGUAGGGAUUCAAGAGCUGCAUGAUUCUUCUUCACCUCCAAAAUCUGAAAUUCAGAAGCUUAAAGAAGGAACAGAGCAGAUCAUGACUGCAAAAGGUCAAAUAUGCUCUCAGAUAUUGGACAAACAGAGAAAGGUUGCUUCUUUGGGAGCUGAUUGUUGCACACUGACACAGACUUUGGAGCUAGUCCACCAUGGAGUAAGCUUAUCGGCCAAACUUGUUGAGAAAAGCACUUACUAUGCCAAGGUUGCUGAGGAUAUAGAUGUCAAAUUCCAGAAGCUGCAAGGAUGGCUUAACUGUCGCAUGCCAAGCCCAGACACAGGAGUCGAGGAAACAUUGGAUGAAGAAAAGGUUACAGCUGGAGCAGGAGGCAAACUUUCCAAUCACUUGCUUAUUGAUAACAUGAACAAGGGAGCAAGCAAGGAACUGAUCUUCAGUGUGGAUUCUGUUACAGCAAAACUUGACGAGAUCAAAAGAGCAAAAGCUAAGCUAGCUGUAGAAAAUUUUGCAAUGAAGCAGCAAAUUGAGCAACUGAAAAGCCAGUCAAAUGAGUUCCAGGUCCAGGACUUUGUAUUGAUUGCACUUGGUUGUAGUUAAGACUCGGCAUCUGUGUUUGCUGUGGUACGAUGCAGGAAGAGCUAAGGGUAAUGGAUAUCAAGACCUUGGAAAAGGAACAAAAAGUUCUAUUAGCAGAUCUCGUUGGGGAAACCGAGUUCAGCAGUCUCUGCGGAAUCAAAUCGAGAAACUGAGGGGAAUAUCACAACUCGUGAAGUGCGCCUGCAGACAGGAGUACAAGAUUGAGUUAGAUGGUUGUGUAUGAACAGGAAAAGAAGCAGCCUGAACACCAGAUACUUGUAAGUUUUAACUACUAACUAGCCUAGUAAUGUGAUACUAAACUGGAAUGACAAGUCGCUGAAGAGGAAUCGGCAUCGAUAAAAUAAAAUUUGUGAAAGAAAAGGAGUGAAAAUAAUGAAAAAUGGAG